AAGAUUAAAACUCAAAGGAAUUGACGGGGACCCGCACAAGCGGUGGAUGAUGUGGAUUAAUUCGAUGCAACGCGAAAAACCUUACCUACCCUUGACAUGGAAGGAAUCCCCGAGAGAUUGGGGAGUGCUCGAAAGAGAACCUUUACACAGGUGCUGCAUGGCUGUCGUCAGCUCGUGUCGUGAGAUGUUGGGUUAAGUCCCGCAACGAGCGCAACCCUUGUCAUUAGUUGCUACGAAAGAGCACUCUAAUGAGACUGCCGGUGACAAACCGGAGGAAGGUGGGGAUGACGUCAAGUCCUCAUGGCCCUUAUGGGUAGGGCUUCACACGUCAUACAAUGGUACAUACAGAGGGCCGCCAACCCGCGAGGGGGAGCUAAUCCCAGAAAGUGUAUCGUAGUCCGGAUUGUAGUCUGCAACUCGACUACAUGAAGUUGGAAUCGCUAGUAAUCGCGGAUCAGCAUGUCGCGGUGAAUACGUUCCCGGUCUUGUACUCACCGCCCG
rnacentral:rRNA from 1 species